rnacentral:tRNA from 2 species
GGGGAAGUACUCAAGUGGCUGAAGAGGCGCCCCUGCUAAGGGUGUAGGUCGAUAGACUCGGCGCGAGGGUUCGAAUCCCUCCUUCCCCG